CCGGGUGUAGUUCAGUUGAUUAGAACGCGUGAUUUGGGAUCACGAGGCCGUGAGUUUGAGUCUCACCACUCGGA
rnacentral:tRNA from 1 species